GAUGAAGAACGUAGCGAAAUGCGAUAAGUAAUGUGAAUUGCGGAAUUCAGUGAAUCAUCGAAUCUUUGAACGCACCUUGCGCUCUUUGGUAUUCCGAAGAGCAUGCCUGUUUGAGUGUCAUGAAAAUAUCAACCUUGACUUGGGUUUUGUGCUCUAGUCUCGGCUUGGAAUUGGGUGCUUGCCGCUUUUACGAGCGGCUCACCUUAAAUGUAUUAGCUGGAUCUGUCUUUGAGACUUGGUUUGACUUGGCGUAAUAAGUAUUUCGCUAAGGACAUUCUUCGGAGUGGCCUCGUUUCUAGGACGCUUGUCCGCUUUCCAAUACAAGUUCCACCUCGUGGACAUGACUUUUUAUUAUCUGGCCUCAAAUCGGGUAGGACUACCCGCUGAACUUAAGCAUAUCAAUAGGCGGAGGA
rnacentral:misc_RNA from 1 species